ensembl:miRNA
CUGCUCCUUCUCCCAUACCCAUUGCAUAUCGGAGUUGUGAAUUCUCAAAACACCUCCUGUGUGCAUGGAUUACAGGAGGGUGAGCCUUGUCAUCG